AGAUUUCCAAAAACCAUCACGGCAUUAUUAAAGAUCGGCCUCCACAAAAGCAAAGCCAGCAUUAGAAUACACACAAGUACACCCAUUGCAGGGAGACAUGCACAGUCAUCAGGGUGAAAAAGUAGAGUCCUCCCUCCAAGAGGAGAAGAAAGGCAGGCUGUGAACCAGGCCGCUCCAAGAAACAUUACCACCUCAAUCAGCAGAAAGAGAGAGUGAGACAAACCAAAAUCAAGGGCAAGAAGAGCCAAGAACACCGUAGCCAUAUCAUAUAAACCAAAGGCCCAGCGGUGCACAUCAGAACACAGAAGGAGCAGAAAGAACCUGAACAGCACCAAGAUCAAGAUGGACGGCAUGUAUUACCCUCAGCGUUUCAGCAACGUGAUGAUCGGCUACCUCAACCUGGCGACGCUCCUGGCCUCCAUCCCGGUCAUCGGAGCAGGGCUCUGGCUGGCCAAGGGCUCAACGACGUCGUGCUCGUCGAUGCUGCAGACCCCGCUACUCAUCGUCGGCUUCAUCGUCCUCCUCAUCUCCCUCGCCGGCUUCGUGGGCGCCUGCUUCCACGUCGCCUGGGCGCUGUGGCUGUACCUCUUCGCCGUGAUGAUCCUCAUCUGCAUGCUGCUUGGGCUCACCAUGUUCGGGUUCGCCGUCACGGCGGGAGGCGGCGGCACGCAGGUGGCCGGCAGGCCGUACAGGGAGUACCACAUCUCCGACUACUCCUCAUGGCUCCAGAAGCAUAUCCAGGACAUCAAGUACUGGAAGCCGGCGCUCGCCUGCGUUGUUGGGUCCAAGGCCUGUCCUAAGAUCUCCAACUGGACUCCCAUGGAUUACCUCCAGCAUGAUCUCACGCCAAUACAGUCUGGCUGCUGCAAGCCACCAACAGCGUGCACAUACAGUGGUGGGAUGCCAGUAGGAGCACAGGACGAGGACUGCUUCCAGUGGAACAAUGCCCCGAACAUCCUGUGCUACCAGUGCAACUCAUGCAAGGCCGGCGUGAUGGAGCAGGUGCGCCAGGACUGGCACAAGAUCUCCGUGCUCAACGUCAUCGUGCUCGUCUUCCUCAUCUGCGUGUGUGCCUGCGGGUGUUGUGCCUUCAGAAACGCCCGCCGCUCCGUGUCCGAGUACCCAUACGGGAGAUGAAAACACAUUGCCACAUCUCAUCACUAGAAGUAAACAAUGGAGUUGUUUAUUUAGGAAAAAGUGCAUAUUCAACAAAAAAGAGGAUGUUUCUUUUAUUUUGAUGUUCACAACUGCAUAAUCAUGCUUGACUGCUUCUUCAUUAACGGGGUUCUUCAUGCAAAAGAUAAUCUGGUGGCGAUGGUUCCGCGAUAGGAGAGAACAGAUGUACUAGGCGCUAUUGGUACUCAACCCAUGUAUAAUAUUUCCUUCCUGAUAAAUGGCUGGGAGUUGGACCUGUUCCUUGUAGCACUACGGUUUUCAUAUGUAAAUUUCCGUUUAGUGUCCAAUAAUUAACUUAAGUAGAUAUUUUAGUAUGAGGACAAGAUAGUGAAGUGGAAAGGGCACAUGAGCAUGCCUAAUUUCUCCAGUAUGGUAGCCAAAGCGUUUUGCAUUUUGUAGUACAUAUUCUGGUUGGAGAAUUCAAAAGAGAGGUGAUUUCUUGUCUA